rnacentral:rRNA from 1 species
UACGUAGGGUGCAAGCGUUAAUCGGAAUUACUGGGCGUAAAGGGUGCGCAGGCGGCCAAGUGUGUGAGGCGUGAAAGCCCGGGGCUUAACCCCGGAAUUGCACCUCAAACUACAUGGCUAGAGCAUUGGAGAGGGUAGCAGAAUUCACGGUGUAGCAGUGAAAUGCGUAGAUAUCGUGAGGAAUACCAGAGGCGAAGGCGGCUACCUGGACAAUUGCUGACGCUCAGGCACGAAAGCGUGGGGAGCAAAAGGG